rnacentral:lncRNA from 1 species
CGCCUGCGGCUUCUGCCAGAGUACGACGGGGCACGAGCCGGAGAUGGUGGAGCUUGUGAACAUCGAGCCUGUGUGCGUGCGGGGCGGCCUCUACGAGGUGGAUGUGACCCAAGGAGAGUGCUACCCGGUGUACUGGAACCAGGCUGAUAAAAUACCAGUAAUGCGUGGACAGUGGUUUAUUGACGGCACUUGGCAGCCUCUAGAAGAGGAAGAAAGUAAUUUAAUUGAGCAAGAACAUCUCAAUUGUUUUAGGGGCCAGCAGAUGCAGGAAAAUUUCGAUAUUGAAGUGUCAAAAUCCAUAGAUGGAAAAGAUGGUAAGAUCAAUUGAUACAUUUAAUAUAUUCUACAAACCAAGUAAGUUGUUGAUAAAGUUUAGAGUGGUUUGUAAAUUUGACAUAAUAAUUCAGGAGGUUUAGAAUUAGAAAAUUUGAUUUUUUUAAACAUUUGAUUAUUCUAGAAUUUAAAAAUUAACUACUAUAAAUAUCUGAACUAUCUCAAUUUUUAUUUUAAUAUGUAUGGUAAGUGUCAUGAUAUUAACACAGUUUACUAUAAAUGUACAGAUUGUUACAAUGCACUCCCUAUUUAAUCUUUUUUAGUAAUUUUUUAGUUAUCAAAGGAAAUUGAACUUAACCCAAAAAUUCCUUGUUGUUAUAUCAAGACAAGUUUCAUUAAUAUUUCAAUGUUCUUUUCCUGAAGUU